CCCCCGCGAGAGGGCAAAGCGCCGAUUCCCCCCGCAACGCAACAGAGGAGCGCGCCGGGGGUUGUAGUCUCCACCCGCCGCUCCUCCGCUCGGCGCCGGCGGGCGGCGGGCGCCGCGGGACUACGCUUCCCAGCAUGCCCCGCGGCAGCCCACCCCUACCUCAGCCCACGGCCACCCCCAGCGCCGCCGGGGCGGACGUCGUUGGGCCGCAGAGCACCGCGGCUCAUCCGCGACCCGAGGGAGCCGCCCCGCCAUUACCUGGGACGAGCGGGGAAACUCCAUCAGAGCCUGAACCUCCAGAAUUUGUGAUGGAGUAGCAACACAGAAGGAUGUAGUCAACAUCUUUCAUACAAGAUUUCCUAUCAUUUAAUGGAGAGGAGGAGAGAGAAGAGAGAGGAAACACACUUGGCUGCAUUCCUCCACUGGUCUUUUCUUCUGUGUCAGUUCUGCAGCACGUGACUCCUGCAACACUUAGCUAUUUUUAACCUGGAUGUGGUCUGCAAUUUGUUUCACACACAACUCUGAAAUGGCACAACUGAGGAGCGAGUAACUGCUGGGAUAGGGGAAGGGGAGAUCAGGAACUGCUUAUGUUGGCACCGAUGCCGAAAGAAGUGUUCAUGAAAUGGUAGCUUUGGUCUUUUCCUCUCAGUUCUGUGUAAAGUGAAGUCCCACACUGCCCCACAGAAAGGCUGCAAAGAUCAAUAUAUUCACAGUCUGAAUGUGCUCAGAUGUAGGGCAAAGAGAGGUGGAGAAAUCAAGGCAUCCUGUGAAAAAACACCAUAGACAAUGGCCACUUUUGAAACAGAGUUUUCUGUCACAGUUCAACAUGUCAGUACUGCCCACGUCUGUGUGUACCAUCCUCUGCGUAGGCUCUCCUAAAACAAAUCAUUUCUGUGGAAGCCCAGUCACUGUACAGAGUGUGCAUCAAUUCACAGGAUGGAGUUCUAACAACCCUUCAUCUGAGCUUCUAUCCAUUCAAACCUAGGGCUUGGUUUUAUCUGGAAAAUGCAUAGGAAAAAGCUUCUUGAGCAUUAAUUUACAAAAUGAGAUCUCUAAUUGCAAAGCAUUUCUUUUCUUCAGAUAAAUAUAGCUGAUUGUAAUGUGUGAGAUCUGUCUUUUCCCUCUGUGUUCUGUUUAACGCUGUUUGUUAGACAUGAAAGGAAAAGAGGAUUAAAAGGGAGAGAUGCUAUCGUAAACAGCCCUUCAGGGUAGGUGGGAAAACAACAGUAACUCUCUGAAACAGAACACAGGGAUGCCCUCAGGAGAAGGUUUUGAAAGUGUCCUGCAUUUGAAAGUUAAUGAGUAAAUAAAUCUCUAACAUUACUUUAAAGGCUGACAGUGCCAGCUUUAACAUCUCAAGCAUUGCACCGCAACUGAGAAGAGACAAAGGGAAUUUUUAAUGGGCAAUAAGUGGACUAAUAUUUUUGGAUGCAAAGCUAAAAGCAGGUUAGUUCUGAUGAGAUGUGGGUUUGUUCUGUACUUCCUGACACAGCAGCUUUACUGUAUAUGAAAUGCCUUACAUUUCUGAUGAGGGGCCACAUUUUCCUUUAUAGAGAAAAAAGAAAAAAAAGAUGAUCUUAAUAAAUAAUCUUUCCUUGUAAAGCCACAGUAAAUCCAUUGAGUAAAGAGUUUGUAGGCCUUGGGGGUUGUGUGGGCAUGUGUCUGACCAUCACCCUGCUGUCCUGUGGUGCUUUAUAUCUAGAUCAUGUUGCUUAGUCCUCUCUGCCCUGCAGCACUGUGAGAUCUCCUUGCACAGAUCACAUGGUAGUGCAGGGCUGGUGGGCAGGCAGCCACAUCGCUUCUCACCCCAAAUAACUGCACACGCUCUUCUAGUCCACCCACAGUUGUGUCCCCCUUACACUUGGUGAGUUACAUGCACAGUGCUGGAUUUGACUGCUGUCUUUGGUGCCUUGCAAGUCCGGUCCUUCCCAGGAAAGAGUAAGAGCAGAACUGGUUGCUGCAAGGUAAAAUCCCUGGCAGGAGUAUUCCCUUGCUGCUGUCCUCACAUCACCGGCAGUGGGAGUAUGAUUUCUCCCUGUGCACUUCUCUCCCAUGCUGUUGUACUUAAAAUGAACAAACUUGUGGUUACCAUGUUCAUGGAUGUCAGGCAUUUCAGAGAAAAGCUAGCCAUAUCCAGAGCUUUUUUUUACAGCCUCCUCAUUCUCAGGGUCCUCUGCGCAUGGCUGUCAUGAGCAUUGAGGAGCUGCAGUGGCUUCCACAAGCGUGACUACACCUUGGUCAAUAGCAGACUUCCUGUUUUGUUUGUACCCCAAAAAAACAAAACCAGAUGUUUCUGGUCUAAAAAGCUCAUCUGUGCCCACUACCUAUACAGCCCUCUGCUAAAGAAAGACGACCUGCCCCUCACUUACUUGCCGCAGCCUGAGGAGGGCAGAAAGAGCUGCGGAGUGGGCAGGAGGAAGGGGAAAAGGAGGAUACUGCUGGGGAAGAGGGUUGGGAAGGAUAUAAACUUUGGAAUAGAAAUCUUAUAGUAAGAGAACUGGCAUCUAAUGAGGGUUGGGAGAGAACUUCAGAACUUCAUGGACUGUUUCACAAAGUUUCUUCCUAAUCCCUAUUUUUCUCAAAGCUGCUGUGCUUUUAUGACAAUAUUGAGACUAUCUGCCUGCAUCAGCACAAGUUGCCAGCCCAUAAAAAGAAGAGCGAAUCAGCUCCCUAAGCUUUGGCCAUCUGAACGUGACGGAGCACAUGCCAGCCCAUGACAGAACGCAUUAUUAGCAUCUCCACUCCCUUAUCACAGCUGCUUUCUAAGUCACCCUUUUCCUGAGGGUCAAUCACCACCUUCCAAUGCUUUCUCAGUUGAUAAAAAAUAUCUAGUGUAAUUUUUCUGCUCAGUUGUUAUCCUGAUCUGUCUGCUCACACCUUGAUGCAGGAUCCUUGCAGCCAAGGAUCUGUACAGCUCCUUGGGAGCAUUCUACCCUUUUCCCUGCACUCAGCCUCUUCCGUGUUGCAUGAUGAUCAAGAACAUCAUCUGCCUUUCUGAGCUUGAAAACUUCAACAGGUGGACAGAGGAACAGGCUUGUCUCCUCUGUCCACCUCUGCUUCCUCUUCUCAGGGCCCUUCUCAGUACAUUACUAAUAUCUUUCUUCUCACUAGCUCUUUCGGGGUUAGUCUUUCUUGAGCAUCUCUGGGCAAGUGACAGGCUGUCAGACAGGCACAGAGCCUUUCAUUUGACUUCCUCCAGGGAAUGCAGCCUUGAGCUGAUACAGGUAUGCCUGAGACUGGUUCUCUUGCUCUGUUAGGGACAAUACAAUGGGGAGGUUAGCUCUACUGUGCCCCUUUAUACUGUGGAAGUUAGCAGCAAAAGUCCUAGAUUUAUUCAACUCAAAAACGAAACAACAACAACAAAACAACUCCAUUUAGUCUACCUUUAAUACACAUGCAUAUUUAAUAUGCAUAUACCUGCAUACAUACAGAGACAAAUAUACAUGUAGCUCUUGCUCUGCCAAGUCCUGUGCGAUUUCUGCCAUCCUGAGCAACUGGAGCAUGAAAGUACAGAAGGAAGAGGAGAUGGAGCUGUUUUGUUUAUGGCAAGAGGCUGCUUGCACAAGUAGCCACACUUGUGGUGCAGUCUCAGGCACUUAGACUGGUGUGAGGCUCCAGCAAAGCCUGUUGUGACCCUCUUUGGAAAAAACUUCAGCUUUCUUCUGGCUGAUAAAGCCAGUACUGUAAAGAAACCAGAAAUACUAGUCCUGUUCAAGAGCUGUGCUGUGCCCCAGGCAAGAAUACUAACACAGGAUUCUCCCUUCAAAUAAAAGAGAAACAAUCAGAUAUUCUCAGUGCAGGCCCAGGUGGAAGACUGUACUAUCUGGGAAUAUGCAUGUUGUGUGGCUCCAACGGCAAAGAUGUGUGGUUUGUGGGAAUACAAACCCAUCAGGAAAAAGAAUUUGUUCACAGUACAGAAGCAAAGAGGAAUUUAAUCACCUGCCUUCUCUAGGUGAAAGUUAGGUGGUCUCAAUGCUUCUUAGGUUUUGACUCACUGAAAACAGCACUGUGUUUCAGCAAAGGGUGAAACAUGGGGGAAAGGAACUGCAUGGGCAAGUGUGUGCAGCCAAGCAGAUGGAGAAGGUGGGUACUCUGAUACCGUUAAGACAAGCAUUGCAGAAAGUGGGAGAGUUCAAAGAGAACUACAAGAAAAAUUUCCUUACAGUGAAAGAGAUCAAAUACAGAGCAAGGAUAGGUCUGGGACUUUUCAAUGGGUGGAGGAAGCCCCUUGAGAUAAAAUCUGUUGUCCUGUUUCCUGUCCUAGUCCAUUGCCCAAAGACUCACGGCAAGAAGAAAUAACAAGUGUGGAACACUGCCUAAGAAUCAUUUUAGCAGCAUCAAAAUCAUUUUAGCAAAUCCCAUCUCAGCCCAGGGAACAGCCAGUUUCUUUGCUUGUUUCUUACUCCUUCUGUGCCUUGCCUCAUUCUAAACAUGACACUUUGACUAAACAAAACAUUCCUGUUACCUGCUCUGAAAAAUCACUCUGACAUCCUUCCCUUCAGCCUUCAUCACUUCAGUGUGGCACAGGGCAUAAGUCAUCUGUUCAAAUGCAAGUGUCAAGCUCAAAUAAAUGCUCAUGGGACCCCAGUAACUGUAGUGACUGGAUUUCCACUGACUGUAACAGGCAAGCUGUGCUCCAGGACUCACUAAUGCUUCCCAUAAGCCUUGUGGAUGCAUAGUCAGAGACUUAUAGACAGACCUAUUAUGUGCUACAGAAAAACAGCAGGCGCUGCAAGUGUCUCAUGUCCUGCCAUAGCAGGACUCUUUGGCAAGUAUUUUAGAGUGAAUGAGUCUCUCUAUUGCAUCUAGACUCCUAACUCUAUCCCUGUCCAAAACUGGUGUGUAUUUUUCCUUGGGACAGUGCCCAAUCUGAAGAGUUAGUGUUUUCCACACAAAAAUGCCUGCUUGGUAAACUUCCAAGAAGUUCUAUUUUUGAUUCAAUGAAGAAUGGCAGCUUUCCAUGGAGCUUAAUUUUUUUUCUUCCUUUCUUUUCCCCACCCCUUUUUCCCCCCCAAACCAAGGUUGCUCAAAAAUCCAUAACUUUUCAUUUGGAAGUGCUGCCAGGGAGCCUCAUGGAUGUCAGAGUUCAGAUGUCUUGGUCUGCAGGAGGUUGGAUGGUUUUUAUAGUCAUCCUUUCAAACUUGAAAAACUACAGUAGCUAUUUUCUUUCUUUUCCUUUCCAUUGCACUGCUUUCCCUCCUCUUGAAGAGAGGACAGCAGAGGUUCUGCUGCAGACCUCUGAAAACUCUGGUGCUUUAACACACUGUUCCUGCUCCCCAGCCCAUAUGGUAACUUGUGACCAUGAAGGAUUAGGAGUGGAGCCACAGCUGUUAAGCAGCUACUGGAACCCACUCCAUGUCAGGGUAAAGAUCUGCUGAUGUGUGACUGCCUGAGAGCUGGAGAUACACACAAAUCUUGCCGGAAGCCUUUUAUCCUCCUGCAUCCAAAGUUUGCUUACUUCUGUAUGCAAGUUGUUCCAUAGUCUGCAAAACAAUAUCCAAAAUAGCUGAAAUUUUCAGGACCGUGCCAUCACUCUACUGGCUCCCACAUUUUGAUUAAUUUUCUAUCCCAUUCUGCAUCUCCAGAGUCUUCAGUGAGCAAGAGCUGAGCAUCUUCCAAGUCAUAAUGAUCCUUUCUUGUUCACUCUCUCACAAACAGAAUCCUUUUGGCCAGCAGCCAGGGCUGCAAUAAGGGCCAGGCACAUACAAGGGCAGCUUAAAAGCACCUCAGCUUUGGGAAAUCCUGCUGGGCUGUAAAAAGCUGCCCACAAACCCAAAUCAAGCAAGGCUUGUCUGAUAAUUCUUUGGCAUAAUCCCCAAACUUGCUGAACAGCUUUUCCAUACAAAGUAUUUCCAGGUGGGUUAUUAGGGCCUGUAUCCCUUCCAUCUUGUAUCCUCUUGUGGUUGAAAAAGGCAUUCUUUAGAGCAGGCUAUUUUUUAAAGAAAGCCAAAUAUCCUCCUUUACAUUUCUGGUUCCUGUAAACCAGAAGGAUACUUUGCAGGAUGCAAACUCUUCCUGCCACAGCUCACAGGUGUCACCUCCCCCACAGUGCUGGUACAGGACUUUCAGUUAAACAGACAAUUUGUACUUUUCAAGGAGGCUGGUGCUGGUUCAAGUAGCAGCGUGCACACUCAGUACUAGCACAAAGGUGCUAUGCUCUGUUAAACUAGUUUUCUUUCCUGUGUUUUUACAGUAGUAUCGCUGUAGCCACAUUUGGGUCUGUGCUACUUUAAUCAUGCUGGAGUAGUUAAAAGGAAACAGCUGAGCUGAGCGUGUCCUGCAGCUCAGAGUCCUGUGGCUUAGGGCAGGAGGAGGCAGGGUCCUGGGCCCAAGCAGCCCUUCCAGCUUUGAGUGGGCAUGCUUAUGCUGUUUCACUACAGUAGUGUUUCCAUGUGUGCAUGUACAGUUCAUCAGUAAAGCUGAGCCUUGCCAGGAGAACCUGCGUCUCCGUGAGGCCCUCCCUGCUGCUAUAACACAGCAAAGCCUUUUGCCAGUGGAAGGCUGAUUUGCUGUGAUCCCUGCAAGGAAAGAGGCAGGCAGGCAGCUUGCUGACCUGCUGUUAUUUUUUCUCACUGCGAUAAUCUGUGGCUGCUGUGAAUAGGAUUGUAGAAAAUGAGUCCCCAGCAUAAGACUUGCAGAUCUAUAGAUAUCAUAGGAGAGAAGCAGGAAAAGAAAUUACAGUUUUCCUUUGGAAACCGUCAGUAUAACAAACUGGUUCCUUUGCUGGUUUGAGUCUUUGGGGUCUGUGCCACAUAGAGCAAGAAGAGAGGUGGAGAUGGAACAGUGCAGAACUCAAAAAGGUUUCUGUGAGUUAAAACACGCUGUUUCACUUUGAGACGCUUCAAGAUGGGAUGAUUUGAAAGUACAUGGUGUGUCUGAAAAAAAUAACCAGCUGUGGUGGUAAAAGCCAACCAGACAGCUAAAGAUCUGUUUUGAAGCUGGUCUGCCAGUGAGGCCCUGCUCUCCAGGGAGGUCUAAAUCACCAUGGGCUGAAGGACGCAGGCAGCAACCUGGAUUUCUUUCCUACCACUGCCUGAGAGAGGCCAGUACUGGUCCCAGCUGCAAUGAGGCUGAGAAGGCUGCAGCGCAGUUGUGGUGCCUUGGUGUGACUCAGGGCCUUCUCCACUCUGACUUUCUUCCAGCAUCCCCUCCCCAGGCUGGAAUCUCAACGCCUCCCACUCUGAGAUUGUUGGUUUUUUUUCCCCAGCACCGCCCAGCCUGUUCCUGCUGGUGGCCAGUCAGCUGUGCUGAGCACUGCUGCUGCCACUCACACCUGUAUCAGGCAGUGAGCAGCACUCCUGCUUUAACCCAGCUCAGGUGGGGAGACCUGGUGAGACACACCAUAGCUACCUGGGCUAUGAGGCACUGGGAAAAAAAGCAGCCUGGACAGCCUCGGCAAAGCCAGAGAGCUCUGUGCUCAAGAUGGUCAACAAGAGCAAAGGCAGGAGAUGCUGCAAAGACGUUAUUUUCCCUCACAGCGAAUAGUUCCACCCAGGUUUCACUUCUCAUUCCCAUUUUGUAUCAAAAAUAAACAAACAAACAAAAAUCACCGCUUGCUACUGUGCAUUGCCCUUGUUGCCAUGUGAUCUGGGCAUGUGAUUAUGUUGUUGAUAACUUGGUUCUUUUAUAGAAUCAGAUUCACAGCUGCUGUAGGAGCCCAUGCAACUUGUUGGAGCAAUUCUCUCCUCUCUCACACAAGAGGCAGAGCUUCUGCCUGCUCCAGGCUGCCCUACGGAUUUCUGCCUCCUCCUGCAAGGACGACUCCUCCUCGUCAUCCUUUUGCAAAGUGCCAGCUGUACUCAUUUUUAGGAAGGAGGGCGGAAUUCCUCAUAGCUGCACUGUGGAACGCUGUGCGACACCUCAGUGAUGAGGCAGUAGGUUUUUUUUCCAGUCUUUCCUCCCACUGGAAGUAAAUAAAAAGGGAAGGAUGAGUUUCAUUUGGGGAAAAAAAAAAAAAAAAAGACUGCUUGCCAGCCUGCAGUGCACUGUGUGUGUUUGGUUUCCGCUCAGUCUGCAGAGAUCUGCCUGUGCAGAUCUGUUUAGUCAUGUUGCACGGACUGGAUGGGGCUGUUUGACAGUGUUGGUUCCCAGCUCUCCUCAACAAGCAGAUGUUAGCUGUAACUGGGAGCCAUCCCAUCAGAACCUCCCUCCCACCCGGCGCUCUGAGUCUGAACAUGGUUGGCAGCCAGGAGCUCCCAGGGGGGAAGGCAGGUUGCAGAAGGCAAUUUUAUACUGAAAGACAAAAAACAACUGUAGUCCUGUUUCCCCAGGGCAGUGCCAGAAUUCAAGAAGUGUUUGGACAACUCUCUCAAAUCUAUGUGAUUUUUGGGUGGUCCUGUUUGGAACCAGGAGCUGGACUCGAUGAUCCUUAUGGGUCCCUUCCAAAUUGGAAUAUUCUGUGAUUCUACUUGUGGUAUCUUUCUAUGACCUCUCUGCUUCUCAGAUCUCAGUAGUUCCAGUGAAAAUGGGAGAACUCCUUCUUGAUUGAGUGCCCUUUUUCAAGAGAAGGGACAAGCCUUUGAGAUCCCUCUGUGAUCCUAUACUAUUACAGUUGGCCUGGGACCAGGCCAGCACCUGAUCUCUGUGAGGUAUUUACAGUCCUGGAGCCCAGCCACAUCCUCAUGGUUGCACAGUAGCAUGAAUGGAAGCAGUGCUGCACUAUUUGUCCUCAGCACAUGGACAAGGAAGCAUAGGAAACAUGGCAAGCAUCGAUCACCACCUGUGGGGGUUAUUAGGGCAGAAGAUAAAAGGCAGUGUGAACACUGCUGAUCUCCCCCAUUGUGCUCCAAAUCCACACGUGCUUCGAAGAAAUGCAACACACACCCUUCCUGGGAUUGGAUUUUAAUUACAAAUGAACUUUUUGUUCACAAGUAGAUGCCAAUCCUUUUUAAGGGGUUUAACUGCUCAUAGAGUUGAUCCUAGCCGCCUGGGGUGGCCUCUGCUCUCUUUUAGUUUGCUUGGUGCUUGUAUAUGCAACACACCACCAGUCUGUUGGUUUUUUCAGCAGUAAGGGUGUAACGGUUGUACAGAUAUUGUGAUCUUUAUCUCUCCAGUGCUGGGAAUGUGCCUGUGCCUAUCCAAAGCAACCCUGCAGAAAGCAAAUGCCCACCAGGUUCAUAUAAUAAGAAUGCAAACUAUUGAUGAAAAUCAGAGCUGAUACUUUAAGAAGCCAUGUGACUUUUAAUGGUAGUUUGAACUCCUAGAACCAGCACUUUUCGGGCUUCUCACUUUUGUGCUUAAGGAGGACUGGGGUGCCUUCUCUAUAUGUAUCACACAAACUAUUUCUGGAUUGCCUAGAGUGUUUUGUUGUGUUUUGGUCCUUCCUUUGCUCAUGGCCUCUGUGAGGACCCAGUUGCUUCUCUGGGCUCUGGACUCUCUCCUAUGGCAUAUUUGCCUGAAGAUCUUCUCCUAAGGAUCUGUUUCACGUCUGAGCUCUCAUGUCUGCGACAGAUCACAGCUUUCCUGCCCUAUUAGUUUCUUUUUGCUGAACAGGAGCCUGCUAAUUUUUUAAAUUUUAUUCCCAUGUUUCGAGAAAGUCCAGUUUGCCAGAUCACCAAGCCAUCAGCCUGGAAAUACUAAUCUCCUGUAUGUCACUAAAUAAUUUAUCCAGGUAGGGUAUGUUGUAUUGAGGGGUAGUCAGUAACACUCCUUCAUUUUCUUGAAUCAAUACAGCUUCUUGUUCCCCGCUGAAAAUCAUUCUCUGUGCUUAACAACUAUCUGUCUUCUCUAAACUCUUCCUUUUCCUUAGAGAUGCCAGCAGGAAACAUGUCUCUGAUGGCAGAUAUGAAUAUGAAUCAGCCAUCAGCUUUCUCAAUUUAAGUGUUUCCUACCUUUCACAUUUCAACACUAACAAAAAAACAAAAAAAAAAACAAAAAAAACAAAUCUCAAAUAUUGUGAGGUGUGUCAUUUUCUGAAAACGUAUGUUAAAAAAUAUUUUCAAGUUUUCCCUCCUCUUCCUGCCAGUUUUCUCAGGCAGGAAUUUUUUUCUUCUCUGGCAGUGGGAGGGCACCUACCUGUGUUCUUUUUAGCCUGCAAGGUCCCUGCACCAGGGAUUGCCUUUACAUUUGUACAGCUACUGAGGGCAGAACUCUGAAACUGCCCAGGGUUGCCCAGGGAGGUGGUGGAGUCUCCUUCUCUGGAGAUGUUCAAGACCUGCCUGGAUGCCUACCUGUGCGACCUGCUGUAGGGAACCUGCUUUGGCAGGGGGGUUGGACUCGAUGAUCUCUGGAGGUCCCUUCCAACCCCUACAGUUCUGUGAUUCUGUGAUUCUGUGAAACACUUUGCAAAACUCAGUCCUGUUGAUUUCAUUCUCCCAAAGCAACAUCUGUUCUCUAAAAGAAUGUUCUUUCUAUCCUCAGAUCUCCCCUAUUUCCCCAGGAAAGUUGCACGGGCUCCUGAACUAGCAAAAGGAGAAGAACCUGAGAUGUUCCUCAGUCAUUGUCAUGACCAUCCCAAAGCUAUUAGCAGAAGCUGCAGUUUCACUAGCACCAAGCUUUACCAUGCAGUGAGGGCUGCUGCUUCAGAGACAAGCUUCUAAAGGCUAAACAGUGAGGCUGUUGCAAUAGCUCUGUUGAUCAAAUAAAAAUUCUGUUCACAGUGUAGAGCCAAAAACAGUUUUUGAUUGCAGCCUUGAGGGGUAUUUCUUGGCUUGCGUUCAAUGUUUUAAGCAAUGUGCAGUUCUACAAGUCAUUACCAAUGUUUGAAAUCUCUUCCGUAUUAUUAUUAUCCUCAGUUGUGUGGAAUGAAGACUAUUUACCUUCCCCUUAUAGUUCAUUAUGAUUAUUAAACCAUAAGAAUGAGGACCUGCACAUGAGAGUUGGAUAUAUCAGGCCCAUUCUGGCUCUGUCAAGAAUGUUUUUCAGAGUGUAUAUUCAGAAAUAUGCCAAAGUUUUCCUUAUGUAAUUUUCUUCUCUGAACUGCAUUUGUAUACAAAGAUCUCACAAUGCCAUUUUUUAUAUGCACUGUUUGCAGUGAGGUUUCUUGUAACCAGGACUGUCAAACACAAGCCUCUUCAUUAACAAUGUUGCCUUAUGCCUUUAGAUUCCAGUGUCUGAUCUCACCUCUGCUCACUGUCUCACCUGCCUUUCCCUCUUGAUUUUCCCAUCUGCACUCUGUGACCUCCUUUAAAAUGGGUCUUCAGAGCACCUUAAUAGAAUAAGGGCAACUAAGGCCCUCCAGCAGAUGGAGUGGCAUAAAGACUUGCACAUGUAUCCCGCACCAGCGGUUUCCAGGCUGACAGUCACAAAACCGGUGUCACCACCUGCUGCUGCACCACAGCCUGCAGAGGUGCUAACAAGAGUAGGCUGGGCAGUAUAUUUGUGUUAACACCAGAUUACAUGGCAUCAGAAAGGUCAAAGCUCGUUCAACCAAGCCUUGACCAAGCCUGUGAUGCUGAUCCAGGGGCAGCUUAGGCUUUGCAGUUCACCUUGCUCAUGCUUUGCAGUAGAGAUAUGUCUUGAAGUCCUUCGUGGCUUUUUAGCUCGAUGCUUGGACACUGAUUGGAAAACAAAUGCAUAGAAUCACAGGAUGGCUGAGGCGGGAAGGGACCUCUGGAGGUCAUCUUGUCCAACCUCUGCUCCAGCUGGGACACCUGGGGCAGCGUGUCCAGAGCCACGUCCAGGCAGCUUUGGAAGAUCUCCAAGGAGGAGACUCCACAGCUUCUGUGCCAGUGCUCCGUCACCUGCACAGCACAGCAGUGCUUCUGGUGUUCAGAGGGAACCUUCUGUGUUCUGGUUUGUGCCUCUGGUCCUGGCAUUGAGCACCACUGACAGAGUCACUGCAGGGACUGCCUCAUGAUUUUCUUAUGUAGCAUCUAUAAAAAUGGGGUUUUAGUCUAGACACGCAUCCCUCAUGCUUAAUAUGCAAUAAAUAGGCAUAAUGAUAAUGGAUAAACUGGGAAUCUGGCUCUUUCUGGAAAUAGUACCUAAUAUGGGAAUGAUUUGUAACUCCUCAGGAUUUCUGUACUCCUUUCUGCUUUGCUCUGAGCACUUGAAAAUGUGCUCACUGCAAGAUGGUCUGUGUUAGGAAUAAUGACGUUUAUGUUAAUUAAAUUUCAGAAAUAUCUAAGUGGCAGCCCUACUGAGCUGGAGGGAAGAACAUUUCCAUAUUUUAUGGUGUUUACACUAUGUUGUUGGUUGGUGGCUAGUAAGCUUUCGUUUAAUGUAUCUAAUGUCACGUGGCUGAUGGAAAAUACAGUUGAGCUUCUCUCAGUAGAAAUCUUAUCAGUAAAAAUCUACGAUUAUAUCGUAGCUAUGCUACACUAGUGAAAGAGAGAGCAGCAUUAACUGAUAGUUCUGUAGAAAUACAGAUGGCUUUUACUAGUAAUAUAACCAGGUAUCUUGUCAAAGGGAUUCUACUAACUAGGUUAAUGAAAUGCUAUUACUACUGUUACUGCCGGGGAGUCAAUACUGCUGCUCUGGACUCUGAACAAAACCUGUGUGUUCUAAGGAGUUCUGACUAUAAGGAAUAACAGGUAGAUAUGGGCAGGAGCGUGGCAUCAGAAGCAGGUAGAGACAAAUGUAACAUUUACAUGCUUACUUGAGUUUUUUCUAAUAGCAUUUGCGUUUUGACCUAUCCACUACUUUAAAAAAAAACAAUACCCAAGGUCUUCUCAGUAGGUCGGUCAGGACUGAGUUGCCUUUUAAGCAGCAGCAGAUGUUCAGGUACCAGUAAGACAAUGUAAAGCUUCAUGUACAUGUAAAAUCUUGUCAGUUCCCAGCAGCGGGUUCUUAAAGUAUGCAUACAGUCCAGUAUAUGUAGCAGCUCCCAUCAGCCCUCAGUCACCUUGCCAGCUGAAAAAGCAGGACAUGGUAGGCGCUGUGGCUUCUCUGCAUCUUCCUCCAUGAUGCUGAUUUUGCCAUCCCUUUUUUCUCUUCAUUCUGUGUUAGUAGGACUGUCACAAACAGCUACCACAGCACUGCUGCUACAGAGAGCUCUCCUGGGACAGGGAGCAGAGGCUGUGAGGCUACCGUCUGUGUGGGUCAGGUUUGGGUUGAUGACUAACACAAGCAUCCAGGCCUCUGGGAAGCCCUUAGGGCUUGGGAAGCCCUAAGGCAGCAUGACUGUGCCGUGUUAUUCACUUUGAGGUUUGAGUCUGACCCUGGGUGCAUCUCAGAGUCCUGAAGGCAUACUGAGAGCAGCACUGGGACAGCAUACGAGUGCUCUCAAUUCAAUAUGAAAUUCAGAAACCAAAAGCAAAGCUCUUCAUCAAGGAAGCAGUAAUUAGUGGGCAAGUGCUUAAAACUGGACAGACGGAAGAAACCCAAGAUGCAUCCAACAAGACAAAACAAAUUGUGUAUAAAGUGUCUAAAACUAAGUCCAAAAAGAAAAGAAAAUGCAAUAUAUUUUUUUCUGCCGGAAAGUAAUGGCAACAUUGACUAUUUUUUGUCCCUUCCAUCAGUGUUGGAUAGUUUAAUGUUGAUGGUGGCUCUGACUAUGCCUGUGGUGAUUCGGGGUGUAGGGCCCUCCAUAUUACACUAGUACUCCUGUCAGUCAUGUAACCAUUUCUGCAGUCUCUACCAGAUGUAUCGAAACAAGUACCUGCUCAUUUGACUUCUGCCCUUCUCCACGUAUCAUAGAAUCAUAGAAUCACCAAGGUUGGAAAAGACCUAAAAGAUCAUCCAGUCCAACCGUUCACCUAUUCCCAAUAGCUCCCACUAAACCAUGUCCCUCAACACAACAUCCAGCCUUUCCUUGAACACCCCCAGGGUCGGUGACUCCACCACCUCCCUGGGCAGUCCAUUCCAGUGCCUGACCACCCUUUCUGAAAAGUAACACUUCCUAAUGUCCAGUUUGAAUCUCCCCUGCCAUAGCUUGAAACCAUUCCCUCUGGUCCUAAAAAUCAAAAAGCACCAACUCCUCCACCGUCCUGGAGUAAUUGGUCACUAACAACAAACUUGUUCCUGCCAGGGUGCUUCUCAACCCAUUGUAGUCAAGGAUACUUCUGGGAAAGUCAGGAAAAAACAUAGAUUUCCAGCUGCUGCACAAAGGAAAGAACAACCACUUAAAAUCUAUGUCUCUUCAUUUUUUCUCCCCACCCUUAAGGGACAGCACUGUAGGGCACUGCACAGGGAUGUCUUGUCAGAAGUCAGUGCUGCCACUGUGAGUUUACUCUGCAAAUAGGUUCCCUUCUCCCCAGAGAGGGAACUUGGCAGGGACCAUCCAGAGGAUGCAUGGGGCUUGCAGACAUAACAAAGCUUGGAGUGUGGAGUUGCUGAUCCCUGGCUAAGGAUACCCAAGAGCUGAAAAGAGCAAUUGCUUCAGACUGCAAGAGGAUGCAUCACUGUCCCUCUGUCAGCAGAAAGGUGAAGUGCCUAUGAAGUGGUGUGCAUACGUAGUGUGUGGUGGAAGUGGUAAUAAAGUCAUUACAGUCAGGAACCUCAAGUGAACAGAAGCUGCUGCAAUGAGACACAGUAUGAGUGAGCUGCCGACAAGCAGAAAUCUCUGAUGCUGCUGCAAUUGCCUCCUGCCCUGAGAUAUCUCUUUUUCUACCAUUUACCUCUGAGUGAAGCCACUGGACUGUCAACACUUGUGGCGAGAUCAUGUUCACAGGACUGAGCUGUGUUUCCCAGGUUGUUGGAGGAGAGCACAACAUGCUGCUUCUGGCAGCAGGAAGGGAAGCAACGUGCAGGAGGGGCUCAGAUUUCUUAACAUUUACUGUUAGUUUCUUGGCAGCCAGCAGCUUAUUAAACCAGCAGAGGAAAACCUUGCUUGAUUUUUCCCCCCUAUGCAUGGAUAAUGAUACCCAUUUUAAAUUACCCUCCUUAGGUAGAAGAGUGUGCCAAGAAAAGAAAAAAAAAAAGUAGUGGAAGAACGGGAGGCAAAGAAUGCAGCAUUCAGUAGGACUGCUUUGCCUUGCCUUGCCUUGCUACCCCCUUGAUACCCCCUAGACUCAACCUCACCUUUGGUUUCUCAGGUUUCAAAGGCAGCUUUUAUGAGCUCCCCAAUUUCCCCAAGCUGCUGUAUGGCCAGCAGAAUCUUCCUCAUGCUUCUCACCCAUGUCUCAAUGUCCUCCUUAGUGUACAGCCCAGAGAUGCUAUUCUGGGGCUCCCAUGGUGUAUCUUGCAGGCAGCCCUGAAUGGGAUAGGUGAUGAUCCCCACCUCUCAUAGCACAUUCCUCCCUAGAGAGGAGAUGUUGAAGAAUGUUUGUGCCACUGAGCAGUGUAGCAGUGCAUGUAUGUCAGAAGCCUAUUGCUUUGACUCAGUGCUGUUCUUCAUUCCACUGGUACCACUUUGCUGUUUAUCUAUGUUUGUCUUCCCAGAGCCCAACUGUGGCCACCGUGGCCUUUUGCAAGAUGUGGAAAUGCCCUGAGAUCUGGUACUGCCAGCAAAGUUGGGGGAUUUUUUUUCCAGAGCUUUCUGUAGUAAACCAAGGCUGAAUGCUAGAGCAAAAAAGUUUCCAAACCAGAAAACAUUUUUCUGAAGUGUCUUUUAAAUGCUGUUGCAGGGAUCUCAGCUCCUUAGGUAGCGUACAAGGAUACAUAUUCACAUAGCUUAACAGCGUUCAGCUCCUUUGAACUAGGAAAAUGACCAGACACAGUUGGUGGGAAGGGACCUCUGAAGGUCGCAAGCUUGUUGAGGCUCCUCUUAGCACAGCAUCAUGGCUCUAGGUCAGGUCAGCCUUGGCAUUGCCUGGCCAAAUCUUGAAAGUCCCAGGGGUUUGAGUUCCUCUCUCUGGGCGAUGCCUUCCUAAUGUCCAUAAUGAUCUCCCAGACUCCAGCCUGGCUCUGUGGCCUCUCAUAUUGUCAUUUUAUCCUUGUGUGAUGCCAACAUGCUCUUGGCCCAUACAAGGUGUGACCUAUAGUUUGUAGCAACAUGAGAAGGAGCAGAAGCUUUAUUCACAGCACUCACGGUAGUACAGUGAGCAAGCAAUUUCAAAAUCCAAUUUCAUAGACAUAGAGAUUACAUUAAUCUCAUUUAAUAGCUAAACAAUUCAAGUUUUCAAGAUAGGACAAAGUAAGGGAUAUUCUUGACAAAACUGGUGCUUCAAAGCUGCCUGCAUCUGAUUCAGACUCCUAAGCACAAAUGGUAGAACCGAUUGUAUCUCUUCAGAGAGUAGCUCUGCAAAACUUGUAUUUAAUCUCUCCUUUUUAUAACUCACUGUAGCUGUCUGGGCUUGCCUGUUGGGAAGCAAACGUGGAUUGACUUUGCCUUCAAAUACCAUAUGAGGAAACUCACUUAGCUCUCACCAACUGAUCUCCGGGGCCUGUGGAAUGAUAAAAGCUCAAGUUAUCAAAGUAUCUGUAAACUGCCUUCUGAUUUCUAGCUCGAGCACCUCCCUGAAUCUGGACCCUUUGAUUUAAGGUGGCUGCUUUCUUUCACUGUGUCUCAACAGGCAGAAAAGGGCAUAGCUCUAAUCCCUGUUGGCUCGGUUGCAUUAACUCAGCAUGAUAGAAAAGCCCUCUUCAACUCCAGAAAGGCAGAACUGAAUUCGAUCUGCAUUAGAAACUUCUACCUGUGCAGUACCUUGUCAUUGGCAGCGAUGUUUCUGUACCUCCAGAGACACCGCUGUCAAUGUGACUGUUGAUGCUUUUUGAAUCAGAGAACCAACAUCAGCUGUCCUAGGGAAGGCACUGUUUUUUGGCCUACGCUGCAUGCUUUCAGAGAAUUUGCAGGUUUUGAGAUCUGUGUGUAUCCAUUUUAGGCUGUUUUCCAGCAUUUGUGCUGUGAUUUAGGGCUCUGACAAAUGAGCUCUAGCAAAUCACGCCGAGGUGACUGAAGGCGACCAGCCCAGCUGUUUAUUACUGCUCUGCUGGCACUGAUGACUGUCCCUGCAGCAGUUGGCAGGAGAUAACAUACAUACAGGGCAGAGCUGCUCCAAAUUGUGUUUUAGUUGAAAUCUCCAAGGAGGUGGGGUUAGACCGUACAGAAGACUGUGAAUUAGAGAUACUGAGAUGUUGCUCGUGGUGCUUUGUGCCCAUCAAGAUGAGUGUUGAUGCCAUGUCCUUACAGCAUCAGUGCUGUGUUUCUGUCCCCGCUGUGCACCAGAACUGCAGAUCCUUCCAGGAGGUGAUACAGGGACUCCAGCCAGCCACGUGAUCUCCUCAUUCACCUGGCAGGAGAGUGGGAAUAAAACAUGCCACAUGGGAAUAAACUGGGAAAAGGACUAGGCUUGAAGUACACUGUGUGGCUUCCCCUCCCCUUACCACCUAGCCAGUAAGCUAUUCCAGGCUAUCUUGUUUAUACUGCAGAGCAUUUAAUACCUCUUAGCAUUUGUGUUUGCCUUGAAGCUACAGGCAGCUCUGUCCUGCAGUGCACUAAAUAUUUGUGCAGUAAGUACAAACAGAUGUUCGAAGAUCUGCUUUGAAGCAAAUCUUUACCCGCUAGAUUAUUUCCCAAGACUCUUCAGGAACAGUGUACAUCGAUAUAUCCCAAGCAAAGCCUUGACAGGCAGGGAGAGAGGAAAUACACAGGAAUAGGCAGUAGUGGAGCACGAAUACACACAUCUCUACUGCAUAAAUCCUUCACAGCAGCAGCUGAGAUGUCAGAGUUUUCAUAAACAAUUCAUCUGCCAGGUCUUAUUCUUGUAAAUUCCUCUGCCACAUGCAGGGCUUCUAGGCUCGGUUUGACUCACUGGCCAGAUCCUCGUCACCCCCAAGAGCUAUCGUCUGCACCCUAAAUAAUCUCCCUAAAAGUUAAAAAUCUUGGAGCAAGUAGAGAAGGUGAAAGCUGCCUGGUGUGCACAGAUGGCACUCUCUCAUGCAUAUUUCACUUGUGUCAGCCACUCACAGUUUUCACAAGGCAGACACGAGUGGCAUGAAAUAACGUGACUCUCAGACCCCAUUAUACCAAGUGCCACAUGCAAAUGAUGGGGAAGGUUCUGCCCCAGGCAGCUCCCACCUCCUGUUGGGAUGCAGCAGAAACCCUGAGAGGGGAAAGGUAUUGUGGUAGCAGUAAAACCAGCCAGGAUCUGCAGUGAUCACUGCCUGGGAGGUUGCAGUGAGGGCUCGCAAAUGACUUUAACCACCGGUUUAUGGCUUUGCUUUUGUUUCUUCUUUUCCCACAUUUUUGGGGAGAAGAGGGUGUGUCAGGACAUUCAGGUGUUAGACAAGCUGCAGCCAGGUUUCUGCUUUGCCAGUGAAUCCUUUGGUAGGCUGUCAGCCAUUUUCCCUUAUUCUCUAAGAAAAGCACUUCUGUACCUUAGGGCACACAAGAUUCAUACAUAAGAGUCUGGGAGGCAUUCAGAUAUGGCACUGGGGAAAGCCAGGUCCUGAGUGGAUCUGCUCUGAGGUGUCUUUUGACUGCAUGCUUUGGACAGCAAAGAGAAUCCUUCAGAGCACUUACAGUAGCUGCCUUUUAAAUGCAGAGUGAUGUUUGGUUGGAGCUGUAUGGAGAGCUAAGGCGCUGUCCUAAAGCUCUCUAAUAUACUCUGUAGGACAUUUUGACUUCCCUAGUCUUCAUUUACCUGCCUCUCAUGUUUCUUGUUUAAAACAUGAAAAUGAUUAAUAACUGUUUUUCUACCAUUAAUUUUCCUUUCCUAGUAGCCACUCAUUAGCCUUGCCUAAUUCCUCUUCAUCUGAAAAUGCCCUUCCUACAUUUGCCCUCCUCCUCCUCCUGCUCCAUCACAAGCUCAGGCAGGAGCCACCCAUCACUAUGCUCCCCACUAGCUGUGCUGCUGUGACACCAAGUUGUAUCUUCCAGCUGGUGAGAUGGUCUUUUUGUCAUUCUGUGCCCCCAUUGUCUCUCUAUCUGUGCUUCCCUCCAUUGUAGGGAUGAAGAUCGGGAUGAUGGAAGAAUCUAUCAAUGGCUGCAGCAAUGACCACUGCUGCCUGGAGCCUUGCAAUCGUGUGCUGAGCCUCCCUUUGUUCCAUAGCCCUACAUGGUACAUGUAGGAGAAAAGAUUCUGGGGGCAGCUUGUGCCACUGCUCAUCACUCCUGAGAAGAAAUUGUUUCUAAUAUGUAAAGGUUUUCUCCACCAGUAGUGCUUUGGUAUAAGUCAGAGAGGAGGAAGGCUCUGUGGUGAUAGUCUGACUCAAGGAAUUUGCCUCAGACAGCUGUGAGUGGCUUAGCAAAAGGUAGGGGGGAGAGGGGGAAAAGCAGAAGCCCCCAAUCUCUGAAUAAGGGAAAAAUGCUGCAAGAGGGAAGAGACUGAGUGAAUGAACCUUCACACCCAGUCUCCCCCAGAGAGUGGAAAACUUUCUGAGGGAGCUGACGCCUAUCUACCACCAGUGUGCUUUUUAAGAAAAGCCAAGCUGCACUAGGAAGUGUCAUCUGCAGUGCUACUGUGUGAGGCUUGGCUGUAAGGCCUGCAAGUUUGGCUCAUCUCUGUCCCAUAAGUGGUCACCCAAUACGUACGGUAUCUUUUCUUUCCUCCCACUGUGAGCAGUGUUGUCUUUUUUGAUAAACCAUCCUAAUGCCUGUGUUAAUUAAAAAUCUCAUGGCUCUUCCUCAGGAGAAAGUUCGUUAGUUCCAGUGUUUUCUUAAGAUAAUUAGAUCCAGGCAGGCUAUCACCCUCCCCUGUAGUUUCACUACUGCUCACUUUCUCUGAACUCCUGCAUGCUGCUGCACUGCAUCAUUUUGUUGUGUUCCACUCCAUCAUCUCAAAAUCAGUUGCAUAUUUAUUUCAAAGUGUGGCAAAAACUUUAGAGACUGUAGGAGAUUCUGUAUCUGUACUGUGAUGAUGGACAGAAUUCACUGCCUUGUAGCACCACACUGUAAUGGAGAAACUGUGACUCUUCAUCUCCCCUGAGUUCUAAAAUAGCAAGAGAUAAACAGGAAAAUGGGGAGACACGUUCUGCUUCAUAUUGUUUGGCUCUCCAGUCAGCUCAGUCUCUGAUAUUAAUAACUUCCUGUUUUGUUUUAAACCUUCUGACAAGUGAGGAGCCUUCAUUUCAGCCUGAACUCCAGCACUCAAAUGGCCAGUGUGUUUCCAGGCUCUGGCCAACAAAUUCCAGUUUUCUGCCUACCUCUAGGCCAGAAUUUUAGAACUUAAAGUCAAACUGAUGAAAAUUGGGUGCCUGAACCACCUGCGAGUUACCAAAAUACAAAUAUCCUGGCUUUCACAGCAAGUGAACACCUGCAGACUCUGAUUCUGAUGAACUUUUGCUGUGAACUGUUUCCUGUGGAUAACUUGCAGGAGAAGCAGAGUCCCCCAGCGUGCCUGAUUCAUGUGUACUGCCCACAGCUGUGCUGUGUAACCAGGAACCUGCUCCAGACCGUGGUGUGCAUUGGGAUAGCUUGAACGCAGCAAUUCUAGGAGGGUUAAAAAUUAAACCAGCAAUCUAAAGCAGCACUGGGUUUAAAAGACUGGCAGGGUUCAGCUGUGAAUUAAUGCAUUAGUUACAGUUAAUAUUGCUGGAAGAGCUUGACAAAGGGAAACAUGAAGCAACUAAAAAGAAACAUCAUUAAGGUGAAUGUCAAAGUUUUUGCAUCCAACAAAGAAAAAAAAGCUGAAUACAGAAGAGAAAGCACUGGUUCCCACUGAGUGGUUAUAGAGGAAACAAUCAUACUACUACAGAGACCUGACUAGAGAAUGAAUCUCACAACUGGCCAGUAUCUCCUCCAGGACAGGUGAGAAACCCAACCUAGCUACAGCUUGCAGGUAGGAGGCUCUGUUCCAUCAGAGUAUGCUGAAAUGCUGGGUUUAUGUAGCAGUGCUCAUUUCCAGUUUUCUUGAAUCCUGCUGUCUGUUCAGCAGCCCUUAGGACCAAAGAAGGAACUUCUUCAUCUGUGAGUCUGGUGUGACCUACACAACGCGGCCAUGGGCUCCUGCUGCCUUGGGAGCAGCCUUCCAAAUAAACAGCUUCAGCACACUCUCCUAGGCAAACAAUAGUUAAUUAUCAACAUUAACAAGUGAGUUUCACAUUUCUAUGUCCAAUGUACAUAACAUCUCAGUCUCCCAAGUGUCUUCUUCAGACAGGGUGUGGAUCCUCAGCCACUGGCUCUCCAGGCAGCAGGCACAGGCAGUGGGUUGCAUGGCAUGGGGCUCAGCUCCAGUUGUCCCUCUGAGGCACCGUCGCCCUUCUCUCCCUCCUUUUGGGAACGUGGAAAGAAAUGGCCACCGUUUGGAUAAUCUUUAGCAGCACCACCUGUCCCUGCUGUAGCUGCACCUUCCUACCCCUGGAUCGCACUGUGUUAUCUGUAUGCUAAGCAGAGAACUCCCCCUCUUAGGAUUUGUGUUUAUUUGGUGUUUUUUCUAAGCAGUAAUAACGGGUCAACAGGCAGGAAUUAUUUUAGCUGGCCUUUUUUAUGCAAUCAAGCGUCUCUGUUGAGAUGCUGCUUCAAAAGAGCGUGGGGAGAUCUCCUGACACUACUGCCAGUGGCCCUCCUGUGUAGCAGUGGGAUCUGCAGGAGCAUCCAACCCCUGUUCUGGGGCUCAGUCAGACUGCCUGCAGGCAUCACACACCGGGGCAGUGGCUGUCUGUCCCCCUCAGGAGCUGGGAGAUGCUGUCAUCUGCCCACAGAGCACUCAGCACUGCUCACAUUGAGCAUGGACAUUUUCAUAUCUGGGAUGAAGAAACAGAUGCCUUUUCUUGCUCUGGAGAGAUUAUUUCUUCUGUGCCACUAGCCUGAGAUUGUUUACUUGGCUUAGCCUGUGUUUUCACCAUAUGCAACAAGCCUUAACCACUUCAUAUGAGGCUGCUAUUCAUUUGGGGCCAGUGUGAAAUAUUGCUGGCUUUUCUUUUUCAUUUUUCUGGACUAUACAUGUUGCUAAUCUAUCCCCUUGUCUACACUCUUUCUUCUCUAACGUUUCAGGUCUCCUGCCUUGUAAUAUUUCAAAUCCUUGACUGCUUGAUGCUGCAGAUGGAGUAUUGGUUACCCUCCAUCAUCGGUCUGGCUGCGAGGACUUCCUGUGCUUGACAAGUUGAUUACUUCGUCAAGGUGAAUGUUCAGUUGAGUCUGUCUGGAGGACCUCUGUGUGUCUGAUGCCAGCUGGUUUCUCACCAGACACACUGUUUCACUAGGCACAGAAUAAUAUGAGGAGAAAAGCUGGGAUUUUGAGGGGCUUUUUCCCCACUCCCUUUCUGAGGUUGAUGUUACUCCAGUUUAUCCCAAUAGAGUGUAGAUGGCUAACUCUCUAAUGCAGCCAUCUUCUAUAUGGAGAGCAACUCAUCUGAUGAAUUGCUGUUGGUCUUUACAUAUGGUUUUCCCUGUCUUUAGGAACCCCAAAAGAGGUUAGAUAGCUUGGAAGCUGUGGCAUUAACAGUGCUUUCAGAUUGUCCAUUGUGUAUCAUCAAGGAAGCACAGUAAAACCCAAAUAAGUUAAAUGAAUUUCAUUGCAGUUCCUGAGGGAGAGCAGGUUGCUUUACUUGUGAAUUGCAAGUCGGGUCAGGAGGGAUGGAUCUCCACGGAGAAAUUGCUGACACAGGCCCAGAAAUGUCAUUGGUAAGGUAAGGAAAAGCAUCCAAACUUCUCUUAAUAGUCCUUUGUGGAUACUUUAUAGGAAGUGGCAUCCAGACAACAAUAGGUAUUAUGGAAUUGGGAAAUAACAGUAAACAGCACAAAGUAAACAGCACAGAGAAAACUCAGUGUGCUUCCUGAGAAUGUAAGGAAACUGCGUCACAAUGCUGAGUGCUUCAGGAGAGAAAAUUCUCAUAACUUCCAUAGCCAAACAUCACUUGGGACCAGGGUGUGAAUGACUACUCUGUGCUACUGAGAGAGUGUUGCAACUUCUUGGCAGGUUACAGAAAAUAGAAGGGUGGCCAGCAUCAUUAUCUGGUGGUACAGGAACAUUUGCUUCUCUAGCCACAUGUGGCUGUACCCUGACCAUCUUGGGUUUCCAAGCAGAGAGUUCAAAGGAAAACUCUGUAGGCUUGGCUUUCAAAGGGACCUAUUUCCACUAAGUGUGAACAUUGUUUCUAAAAGGAGAGAAAUCCUUGUUUACUCUUCUAGGAAUUCAUAUUUCUGGCAUAUUGUAGCAGAAAUAAUAAACAAAAGCAUAUUACAGUUGUGAGGUGAAUCCAGGGAGCAUGGCAGCUACUGCCAGACUAGCAUCUGCAGUCAAACCAGCCCCUGGUGCAUCAUGAGCACCAUACCUAGCAGACAUGGUCCUGGUGUUGCUGUCCUCAACAAAUCCCAUAUUGACGCCUCAUUGAGAAGAAUCUGAAUCACAGAAUAUCCUGAAUUGAAAGGGGCCCACAAGGACCAUCAGCUUAACUCCUGGCUCCAGACAGGAACACGCAAAAUUCAAAUUCUAUGUUUGCUACUGUUGUCCAAACACUCCUCAAAAUCCAGCAGCUAAGGCCAUGCCCACUGCCCUGAGGAGCCUCUUCCAUACCCACCACCCUCCGGUAAAGAACCUUUUCCUAAAACCAAGACUGACCCUCCUAUGGUGCAGCUCUAUGCUGUUAGAAUGGAGCUUUUUCUGUGUCCCACCAUACCUGACAAGGCAAGGAUGUGUUGCAGUCCCUAUAUUAUUGAGCUAUUUCAGACCAGCUUUGUAUGAGAGCAGAAGAAGAGCAAUAUGUAGUCACUUUUCUCCCCUUGGAAAGGUAGACGAAGGGGAGCAGGCUGCCAGACCUCCAGAGAAGCAAGGAUCUCCAUCAGGGCAUUUCCUAGCAGGAGACAAGGAGUUCGUGCAUUCUCCUGUCAUUUAUUCCCUGUUGAGUAUUUUCUUUGCUUCCUCCAGGCCCGUGGCCAGGAGGGCCAGCACUGGGAACACAUCCUGGUGCACAGCCAUGGACGCAGCAGUGUCCUGCUGAGAGCAGUGGCCCGGGGCUGGGUACACAGCAUCCAGUCCUCCUCUGGAGACUGGUGUUUGCUGAGGGAUGCAAGGUAACCUCAGCAUUGAAAAUAGCUGGGACGGUGGCCAGCGAAGAUUAAUGGUAUCAUUAACAUCCCCAGUUUAUUUAUAGGUUUAAAAAAGUCUCCAACCUGUAAACAAAGCAGAGUUAUGCUGCGUAAUGCAGAGAAUCACAGGUUUGCCUCCUUCCCACUCCUCUUAUUUCAUCCUGGUUGUUGAGAUUCUAAAACCCCUGGAGUAGGACUGGCUCAUUGCAAACUUACAUUAUAAACCUUCUCAAUGAGGGGGAUACGCACUGUUGGUUUAUUUUUCCAUGAAUGUUAUAUUUGUCCGGUGUCCUUUCUCCACUCAGCUCCUUCUGUGCUUUGUCCUGUGGCCCCUGUUAUGGAAAAUUCUCUUCUUGAAGAAUUGCUGAGGCCCAGGUUGGGCAGUCAUCAUAGGAAUUAGUGAUUUUCUGUCUUGGGCUUCAAGCUGAAAGCUCUGUGUGAGGUGGAUUGAGCAUCUUGUAGCUGUGGAGAGCACCUAGGCGGUGCGUGGCCCCAGUGAAGCAUGCAGAUAUUAUUAAUGAGCCAGGGGUCUUCCUGCAGGCACUCAGGGCCACUCAGUUCCCAGGUUCUUGGGACUGUCCAGAAAAGAAAAAGCAUGUUGGCUCCAGGACAGGAUUUCUCAGCACGUGAGCUGCAGCCACACCGCCUGGCCCAUCUCCAGGAGCUCAGGAGAAGGUAAGGUAGGAAGGUGGGCUGUUGGCAGCAGGCAGCAAGGAUCUGCUGCAGAGGUGUGUGGGUGGAGGAGAAAAGACAAAUGUGAGGAGCCCUCCAGACACACAGUGCAGUGUGGUCUUUUGGAGAGCAAGUGCCAUUCAUUUUACUCUUCGUGAUGUGUUAAUCUGAGUUGUACUCCCAUUGCUGUCUUUCCUUGGCCUUUUGUCUUCCAGGGGGUAAAAUAAAGAAUUGGUAGAGAACUGCUCAAAUUGCUGCUGUCUUCUUUACUGUGGGAAAUCAGAGUGCUUCAGGGCAGAGGAAGUGAGUCUAAAGUACUAGAAGUGACUGAAGGAGGGUUUCUCUGCCAUGCACACCACAGAUGAAAUCAUGACCCUGGAAUCCCCUCACCACCCAAACCCUGCUACCAACACUGGAUGGCACUGGGUAACUCCUGACAUUUUAUAAAGUCUCUUCUAAAACUUGAAUCACAGCAACUUGGCUCCACGCUGUCCUGCCAACAAAGGGCUAUGUUUGAGAAGCUUUUGAUUGCAUGGUUGUUGCAGCAGGAACAUCUGAGUCACGUGGUGCAUUUUGUAGCUUAGUUUGUUAGAUUGUUAAAGCUCGGAGCUUUCGGAACUCUGGCCCCACAAGUUUGACAAAGAUUCAUUGUGCUAUUGGGCUUUAAAGCCAGUUUUCUUGUAAUGAGGUAAAAAUGUUGAAAUACUUUAAAGUAACUGUGCUGUAUGCUGGAGAAUUAAACAUAUUUCACAGAAUGGUUGACGAUGGAAGGCAUCUCUGGAAAGCAUCUAGCCCAAGCUCAAGCAAAGACACCCAGAGCAGAAUGUGUGGGAUCACGUCCAGUCAGGUCUGGUGCCUCCAAGGAUAGGAGCUCCACAACCUCUGUAGGGAACUUCUUCCAGCACUCAACCACCCUCAUAGUAAAAGAGUUACUCGGUGUCCACUGUCUCUUGUCCUGAGCUGGGCACUACCUAGAAGAGUCUUCUUUUCUGAAUCUCAAUAUCAAGUAGUUAAACACAUUGAUUUAGACGCUGUGAUAAGAUCCUGAGCUUUCUCCAGGGUCAGUAAUUCCAGCACUCUCAGCCUCUCGUGUCAGCUGAUUCAAUCCCUUAACUGUGACUCUUGAAGGAGCUCACUUCAGUGUAUCAAAGCCCCUCUUGUUAGGGAGCCCAAAUCUGGACGCAAUACCCCAGAUGUUUUUCGCUAGCACUGAGUAGAUGGGAAGAAUCACCUCCCUUCAUCUGCUGGUGAUGCUCUUCCCAAUGCAGACCAGGAGGCCGCUGGUCUUCUACAUAAUAAGUGUACAUUGCUGGCUUGGUGUCCACCAGGACCCCAGGUCCUGCUCUGCAGACUGCCCCUCCCUGUUUUGUAUCCUUGCAAACUCACUGAGGGCAUGCUGCCUUAUCUUCCAGGAAAUCAGUGAUGUUAAAUGUGCUGGACCCAGUACUGACUCUGUAGCACUUUGUCAGUGCCUGGCCUCCACCAGGACUUGAUGCAGUUGGUCACAAUCCUUUGAGCCUGGCAGUUCUGCACAUCCACCUCACUGUUUACAUAUCUAGUCUAUACUUCAUCAGUAACAUUGGCCAGCUCCCCCCCUACACUCAUGGGUACCUCCCGUCAGGUCCCAACAGGGUAAGUCUUAUUCCAGACUUGCCCAGGACGCUGAGAUUCCAGAUUCCUGGUCUCAUUGGAAAGAUGAGGACAAAGAAGGCCCUGAGUACCUCAGACUUCUCCAAAGCAGAGAAACUGGAAACUGCCGUGUCUAUCGGCUGCUGCCAGCUGCGUGCCGUGAAAUUCUCGUUAAAAUAAAUCAGCUUUAAAAGGAACACAGCUGCAAAUGCACGCCUACCACCCCCUGCAGUCAGUGGUUGCUCUACAAAUGCUGAGGUUGCCAUUUUAAGGCUUGUAACAGCUCCGUUGUGCUUUGUGUGACCCCAGCAAUGGAUGCUGAUGGAGGCAGCAAAAAAAAAUGGGACAAAGAAAUGUGUUCUCAGGACAUGUGGCAAAGCACCAUUGAGACCCAUUGCCAUGUCUUGAAAAUAAAAGUUAGCAUUGCUGCGUUGGUACCUGUCCCGUUUACCUGUUUAAAAUCAGACAGACAGUGAAUGUAAUAACCUAAUGGAGUCAUAAAGAGCCGUGUCCUGAGAGCAAGGGCAUCGAAACAUCAAUGACAAGUCAUGUUGGGAAGGGAAUUGAGAACGCUUCAGCCAGAGCAAGGAUUUCUCUGCCAUGUGUUACCUCUCAGGUCUUGCUUGGUCUUGUGGGUUGUGCUUGUGGACCUAGGAAAGAAAUAGAUUUUUUUAGGGUCUGGGGUUUUUGUUUGUUUGUUUAUUUGUUUAUUUGUUUCUUUUUCUUAGGUCCUAAUGCCUGAAAUAGUGACAGCAAUGCCAUAACUCACCAGUGUUGGGUUUCUGCAGUGUGACAAGGUCAGGGUGCUGCAUGCCCUGGGCUGAGGCAUGUAAGCAUUGAGGAGAGCUGGUGGAUAGAUGGACAGCCCAGUGGGGCAUGCUGGAGGAGCACCAUCUGGCAGGGAGGCAGAGCUUGCCCAUGGGCCCUUGAAAGCUGUCCUGGGAGUAGCUAUGCCCAGAGCAAUGCUCCUGCACUUAUCCAUCUCCAGAGGACAGCCCAGGCACAUCCAUCACAAUGGGGACAUCUGGGGCAAGGAUCCUUGAGUCACCUGGGGAGUUCAGCUAUCUGAUGUGCCUCUGGGCUGCCUGGCAUGCUGGUCAUGAUACUGCUUCCAGGAGUCUUCUUUUAAAAUCUUGUUCUGUAUGACAAACAGGAGGGUUUUGAACUUUGAGCUUAUGCUGUACAUUGCAGAUUAUAGAGGACGAUGGCUUUUCUUCAUAAGCCUUGUGCUCAUAGCAAGGUCUCCGUGGGGAUUCUCCCCUCCAUCCCUGUGAGGAGUUGGGGUUGACCCAUAAAGUGAGCGUUUAGCUGUUGGUUUGACUACUGAACUGGAAAGUCAGCUCUACUUUGUCAAACAGACAAGUACCUAGAUGAGGCAGAAGCUCUUCAGGGAGAGGCCCUGGCUUUGCAGGGAUCAUGGGGCUUCUGGCCAAAUUCAGGCAGAGGAUAAACUCUGCUUCCUGAGGGGAUAACCUAGGGAAAGGCAGUUGCAAAGGGUUUUCCAUUGUUGUAGGAACAUUUACUGCAAUUCAGCUCAUGUUGAUUAGCUCUGAAUGCUAGAUUCUUAAAAAGUGAUUAGUGAGAUCAUACUGGAAAUAGAAACAGAUGUACCAUCUGUUCUGCAGUACGUGGCUUUUAGAGGCAGCCUGUGCUGAAGCAUGGUUGUUGCAGAGGCUGACACGGGUUUUCACUGCUGCCACCUUCCUAUUGCGGCCCCAGAAGCCAAAAACCACUUUGGACACACAAGGUGAGCUAAUGGGUUUUGUAGAAUGAUGGCACAAUUCUGGUCAGAGACUGGGCUGAGAGCUGAACCACACUGAGACUUCAGCACACUGGGCAAACCCUGCUGCAAAACCGGGUAUUGGAGAUUCUCUCCAAGCAGCCAAAGUCCAAGUGAGAAGCCUGGGCUUCAGUCUGGCCUCCUUUCCUUCAGUGAAAUGCAAGCACCAAAAGGUUUCACGUGGAUUUUUUCCAGUUCUGUGGGGUUGUUUUAUGCAGUGCAUCCCUGCCCCAAAACACUCCCAGUUUGCACUUUGCUUGCUGCAGGUCUCCGAGAUUAGCAGAAGACCAAGCAGCAAUUGCAAUUACACUCCUGCAGCAGCAGUAGUCUGAAGCCCUGCUCUGUCUCCACCCAGAGCAGGAGAGGGUUCUGAGGAAUGGUGCAGGGCUGAAGAAACCAACACAUGCAAAUGUGCUUUCCUAAAUCAAAUCUGGCUUCCUUCUGGGUUCCGUAUAUUCCAAAGAGCAAAGGGCAUGUUUGUGCUUUUUAUACUGCCUGAUAACUAAUACUGGGUCUAAUCCCUGGUCUAGGCGAGGUGUUGGAGAGCAACAGUGCGUUGCCUUUGAUCUUGAGUUCACUCUGUCACUGCAGCUGCACAGCCAGAUCAUAAGCCUUCAAGGUUCUUGCUUUCCUCUUGCUUUUUCCUGAUAAAUCUCACGCCUCCCACCCAAAGCGUCUGUCAGGCCUCUGUUUACAAAUAGAAUCACAGAGUCAUACAAUUGCUCAGGUUGGAAAAGACCUGAAAGGUCAUCGAGUCCAACCACAACCUAACCGUCCUACC